GAGAGUAUAGCUCAAGUGGUAGAGCACAUGCUUAGCAUGCAUGAGGUCCUGAGUUCAAUCCCCAGUACCUCCU
rfam:Camelus ferus unplaced genomic scaffold scaffold557, whole genome shotgun sequence.